UCCCACUCCUCCGCUGACGGCUGGGUCCGGGAAAUCCGAAUCAGGCUUGCCUCUGCAGCUCUGCCCAAAGUCCUAGCAAAGUCCUCAGAGCAGGCAGGAGACCAGUAAGUGACUUCAGCAAGAUAAGUUUGACUUUUGCCUGACUCAGAGACUGCCAGAAAGUAGAUCCUUUAUAUAGGCCAUGGGGUGUGGCUCCAUGACUCAGCACUCAUUAAGGCCUGCCCCUCCCUUCCCUCUGCAGCCUCCGCCUCUCCAAUCUUCUGAUGCGAGGGUCACACCAAUCAGCUGUUGGUAAUAAACCCUCCUCAGGCUCACCUGCUGUGGAGGAGGGGGAGGGGUCUAGCUGCUCCGUUUGCCUGGGCAUGGAGUCAGGGCUGGGGCAGGGAGAUUCUCCUUCUGCAGUUUGUGGGGGCAUGGAGCCAGGACUGGGACCGGGAGGCAUACAUUCCUCAGUGUGCGGGAGCAGAAAAAAGAAGGAAUGGAGGAAAACAGUGGAAAUUCCUUGUCUUUUGUCCCUGCUCCUUCAUGUUACCCAAAAAGCUUCCGUUUCCAUCUAUUCUCCACUGUGAUUUCAGCCAAGAAUAAAGCAGAAGAGGCCUUCAUUCCUGUUCGAGAUUCAUUGGGAAAUGACCAACUUACACACUAAAGGACAUAUGAGGGAGAAGACAGCAUAUCUAGGACACAAUGAAAGAAGAGCAAAGAAAGAAAUGAUGAGUUUUGGCCACAAUCCCAACUGAUAGCUCCUGACAUAAGCAACCUAGAGAAGAAAAUGUUUGAAAGCCAAACAAAUGUUAGGUAACUUUUUCCUCCUACUCCAAUAAUGUUGUUGACCAACCCUUCAUUCCACAAUAUCAGGCUAUUUGCUCUACUCAUAAACAUCCUUAAACCUUAUGUACCAACCGUCCAUACUUAUCUAUUCUUCAGCAGCUACAGCUUACUUGUUUUGAGGCCAAAAUCUUCUGUCCUAGAAUAGUCCUCUUACUAGAAUCACCUCUAGCUUCAGAAGGCAUAUAAUUCAACUUUCUCUGAUGCAACAAAGGAAAAUACUGUAAAACAGUGUUUCUUAACCUUAGCUGUUUUAAGAUUUAUUCUAAUAUUCAUCUUUAGAUUAAUUUAAAAUUAAUACUAGCCUAGCGACUAAAGAAUUCCGAUGUGUGUGUGUUAAAAUGGCCAAGGUUGAGAAACACUGCUGUAGAGGAAGUGGAUCUCUAUAGCGACCUAUGCACUUAUCUGACUUUAGAUGAACUUAAUGGUGUAAACAAAGACUUUCUGAAGCUUAAUUGUGGGCCUGCUAAAUGUAGAUACCUUCUGCAUGAUUAGAAUGCCACUCCUGUUGAUCUGGGGUAUGCUCUAAACUUUGACGAAAGCCCAGGUGGAUAAUAUUGAAUAUAUGUAUCUAUUUACACAUACUGUAUAAAUAUUUCAGAGGAGGGAAAUUAUGUAAAUAUUAAUACACUCAAAAUGUAUUCUAUGAAGAUUUAAAAAUGUGAAGAUUCACAAUCACCUUUCACGAACGUAUCUCCCAGACGUAAUUGUCAAAUAAAGUGAAU